rnacentral:misc_RNA from 1 species
UCAAAACAGCGGCCUUCGGGCCUCGCUGCACCCUUGUCUUUUGCGCACCGUAUUGUUUCCUCGGCGGGCUUGCCUGCCGGUUGGACAUCAUAAAACCUUUUUGUAGUUGCAAUCAGCGUCAGAAAAGCAAUAAUUAUUA